UAGACACGACUUUGAGCCACCACCUACUACUCAGGAUCACCUGCAAGUUACCCAUAGGAAGGGCAACGUUUUCAAGCAGAAGGGGUGAGAUUCACAACAAUAAAUAUAGAUAUUAAAAUCAUCAAAUGAAUCUAACACCCUAAAACUUCAAAUAUAAUAAUCUUGCAAAUAUCAAUAUUUAAUUCACAAGUCACAACAACAUCACCAUAAUAAUCCAUUUAGCAAGUAUGUAUACAAUGUACAUAUUACCAAUAACAUCAACAACACAUCAAGAUCACAAUGAAUAUAUAUAAAUAAAUGUAUAUUCAACAUCGACAUCAACAUCAGAUAAACCUGAAACAACAACCAAGACUCAUGCAAAUGACAUGACCACUGCUAAGACACCAUCUUAGACUUCUUAAUGAAAUGCAUUAUGCAUGUGGUACCAAUCAGGACCGAGGCCCUCACCGCUUUGGAAUGGUUAAAGCAUUCAUCAGGACCGAAGCCCUCACCGCUGUUGAGCAACUACUACUCCAGGACCGAAGCCCUCAUCGCUGUUUUAUGCAUAUGCAAUGGACCUACUUGUGUAUAUCUACAUACAACUGACCAUGCAAUGCAACUCCAUGUGACUCCAAUUAAUACAACAUGUAUGGUUUAAUAAAUAAUCAUACAUCAUAGCCAUCAGCAAUAACAACAACCAGCAAUUCAUCAAUCCAUAAUAAUGCACAAUUAAAUAAAACUAUGCUCAAAUCCAAUAAUCUCAACCACUACAAAUCAUACAGGCAAGUUAGCACUCAGGAACUGUGCAACUCGCCUCGCGAGCACAUCUGCUCGCCAUGGCGAGUUCACGAAAACAGUAGCUCGCCGUGGCGAGUUCAAGGCGAGUGAAAAUCAGGUACUCUCGGGAAAAGUGACAUUUUCUCACUCAAACUCCAAUUCUAAGCUCCCUAUUCAUCUUUUUAACCUAAAACUUUCACCAUUCAUCUUUAUUAUCAUCUAGGUACCUUAAACCAUCCCCAAAACAUCUUAUAACAACUUUUCAAAAAUCAAGUUUUGUCUGGGCUUACUCGCCAUGGCGAGUUGGAUUGCUCACGAGGCGAGCUAUGAAGUUGCUCACUCGCCAUAGCGAGCACAGCUACUCGCGAGGCGAGCGAUGAACUUCUGUACGGGCAGAAAACUGGUUUUACCCAAAAAUCCCAUUUUUCUUCCAAUCACUCCCCAAAUCAGUUUACAGAUACAUAAUUAAGUGUUCUACGCAACCAGAAACUAAUUCUAACCCCAAAAUCAUGCUUACAACUUCAAAAUCAUCAUUUUAUCAUAAAAACCCAAUUUCCCAAAUUCUCACCAAAACUCUGUUAAACACAAAAUCAGAAUUCAAUAACUACAUUCUUGAAGUAAAUCCCACCCUUACCUUAGUUCAGAAUGAAAAAUGCACAGCAAAAAGGGUUCCUCUGGUUCUUCUCUCUUGCUCCUGGUUCUCUCUUCCUUGGCUUGGUUUCACGUAAAACUGUUUCUGACUCCCACUUCCUAUUUUCUUAACUUCCCACUUAAGAGUAACUCCCUCCUAAUUACACUUAACUCCCCCAAACUCCUAAUAACUCCAAUUAAUUCCCCAAACACCAAAAUAAUUAAUAUUUCAUACUUAUUCUAAUUAUUAUUAAAUAAACUAUAUAAAUCACCCAAAAAUCACAUAUACACAAAUAUAUGCAUAUAUAUACUCCGCAUAAAUCACCAAACAUCAUAUAUAAUAAUAAUAUAUAUACUCCACAUAAUAAAAUAAUUAAAUAAAUAACUAGGGCGUUACAACUCUCCCCAAAUCACAGAAUUUCGUCCUCGAAAUCUUACCUCAAGCAAACAACUCCGGAUACGACUCCCGCAUCUUACUCUCCAGCUCCCAAGUCAAACUUUCACCAGUCGCUCCACCCCAAACGACUCUCACAAGAGGUAUCUCUUUACCUCUCAAGGAUUUCACUUUUCUGUCAUCAAUCCUCAAUGGCAUAGUCUCAACUGUCAGGUUGUCCCUAACCUGCACAUCAUCAUCCCUCGGAAUCACAUGAGAAGGAUCCGCAACAUACUUCCGAAGCUGAGAAACAUGAAACACAUCGUGCAAGUUCGAAAGAUGUGGUGGCAAAGCAACUCUAUAUGCCACAGUACCAAUUCUCUCUGAAAUCUGAUACGGACCAAUGAACUUAGGAGUCAACUUUCUCGACUUCAAAGCCCGACCAACACCCGUCAAAGGAGUGACCCUCAGAAAAACAUGAUCACCCUCCUGAAACUCAAGAUCCUUUCUUCGCUUGUCAUGGUAACUCUUCUGUCGACUCUGCGAAGCUCUCAUCUUUUCUCUUAUCAACCUUACUUUCUCAGUAGUCUCAUGUACCAAAUCUGGUCCCAACACAACACUCUCACACGACUCAAACCAGCAUAAAGGAGUCCUACACCUCCGACCAUACAAGGCUUCGAACGGUGCCAUACCAAUACUUGAAUGAUAGCUGUUGUUAUAAGUAAACUCAAUCAAAGGCAAGUGACUGUCCCAAGCUCCACCUUGCUCAAGCACACACACUCUCAACAAAUCUUCCCAUGAUUGAAUUGUCCUCUCCGACUGACCAUCUGUUUGAGGAUGAUAAGCCGAACUCAACUUCAAUUUCGAACCCAAGGCGUCCUGUAAACUCUUCCAGAACCUAGAAGUGAACCUCGGAUCUCUAUCCGACACAAUACUAGACGGAACACCAUGAAGUUUCACCACACUGUGAAUGUAAAUCUCUGCCAACUGCGCUACCGGAUAACUGAUAUUGAUAGGAAUGAAGUGUGCCGACUUCGUCAACCGGUCGACAACAACCCAAAUAGCGUCAUGCCCUCUCGGAGUGUUCGGUAAACUCGUCACAAAAUCCAUAGAGAUACUGUCCCACUUCCACUCCGGUACAUCUAACGGUGUCAACAACCCUGCAGGCUUCUGAUGCUCAACCUUGGACUUCUGACAAACCAAACAGGCAUAAACAAACUGAGCAACAUCCCUUUUCAAACCGGACCACCAAAACAGUUUCUUCAAAUCAUGGUACAUCUUUGUAGCCCCCGGGUGAAUACUCAAACUACUCUUGUGACUCUCCUCAAGAAUCAACUUCUUCAACUCUUCAUUGUUAGGAAUACAAACUCUACCUCUGAACCUCAGUACACCCUGAUCAUCAACUUUGAAAUCACUAUCCUCAGUGUCAUUACCUGAAGUCAUCAAAUCAACAAACUUCAAAUCCUCUUUCUGAGCUUCUCGAAUACUGUUCAAGAAAUCACUAUCAAUUUUCAACAUUCCCAACUGUAUACUCUGGGGUGACAAUUCACAGACAAGACUCAUAUCUCUGAACUGUUCUAACAACUCAAACUCUUUCACCAUCAAAGCAGACAUGUGCAACGUUUUCCUACUCAAAGCAUCAGCAACCACAUUGGCCUUACCAGGAUGGUAAUUCAAGCCAAAAUCAAAAUCCUUCAGUAACUCUAACCACCUCCUCUGCCUCAUGUUCAGUUCCUUCUGGUCAAAUAAAUACUUCAAACUUUUAUGAUCACUGAACACCUCAAAUCUGGAACCGUACAAAUAAUGUCUCCAAAUUUUCAAAACAAAAACCACUGCAGCUAACUCCAGGUCAUGUGUAGGAUAAUUCUUCUCAUGUACACGCAACUGCCUAGAAGCAUACGCUACUACCUUACCAUCUUGCAUCAGAACACCACCUAAGCCCAGCUUAGAUGCAUCACAGUACACAACAAACGGUUCUUCUGGUUUAGGCAAAAUCAAAACAGGAGCUGUUGUCAAUCUUCGCUUCAACUCAUUGAAACUACUCUCACACUGAGCAUCCCACACAAAAGACUUACCCUUACAGGUCAACUGUGUCAACGGAAGAGCCAAUUUCGAAAACCCUUCUAUGAACCUGCGGUAAUAACCAGCCAAACCCAGAAAACUUCUGAUCUCAGUUACCGACUUCGGAGUCUCCCAUUGUGAUACCGCAUCAACCUUUGAAGGAUCCACUGCAAUACCACUACCAGAAAUAAUGUGACCCAGAAAACUUACUUCAUUUAAUCAGAACUCACAUUUUGAUAACUUAGCAUACAACCUCUUUUCCUUCAACACUUGCAACACUAUUCUCAGAUGCUCUGCAUGCUCCUCCUCAUUCUUGGAAUAGAUUAAAAUAUCAUCAAUAAAUACCACCACAAACUUAUCCAGAAAAGCAUGGAAGAUUCGAUUCAUGUACUCCAUAAAAACACCAGGCGCAUUAGUAACACCGAAAGGCAUCACUUUGUACUCGUAAUGACCAUAACGUGUCCUAAAGGCCGUCUUCUGCAUAUCUUCAUCCUUCACCUUUAUCUGAUGAUAACCAGACCUCAAAUCAAUCUUACUGAAAAUCUUAGCACCAACCAACUGAUCCAUCAAGUCGUCAAUUCUAGGAAGCGGAUACCUGUUCUUGAUCGUAACUUUGUUCAACUGACGGUAAUCUAUACACAGUCUCAUACUACCAUCCUUCUUCUUUACCAACAACACCGGUGCUCCCCAAGGCGAAACACUGGGUCUUACAAACUUCUUAUCUAACAGGUCCUCCAACUGCUUCUUCAACUCAGCUAACUCAGAAGCUGACAUACGGUACGGUGCCAUCGACACCGGCUUAGUUCCUGGAACAACAUCAAUUGAAAAUUCAACCUCCCUCUCUGGUGGCACAUCAGGAAUCUCUUCAGGAAACACUUCCGGAAAUUCAUUCACUACGGGUAACCCAUCAAUCACAGCUUGAUUUUCCACCGACAAAGACGCCGUCAAAGCAACCACUGAAGUACCUUCAUUCAACAACUCCUACAACUGCUUUGUAGUCACAAACUCAGCUUUACUCUCUUCUCCGGCAGAAGGAAAGUACACCGUCUUACUAAAGCAAUUGAUAUGAACAUGGUUAUUCUCCAACCAGUUCAUACCAAGACACAACAAACAACCAACAGGACAACAACAAAAAGCAACAUUAAAAUUGACACUCUAUCCUAGGUGGCUCAACACGACUCUACUACUUGGUCGGACGGACCAACCUGCUCUGAUACCAAAUUGUAACACCCCGUUACCCAAAAGCAAUAAAAUAACAUAUAAACAUCAGAGUAAUUCCACAACGGGCAUGCUACACGUCAUUUCAAAAUUCUUAAAUAGAAAAUAAAACUAUUUAAUCAAAUCAACUUAUAUAUAUGAAAACAUAGCAGCGGAAUAGUUUUCAAAAUCCAUAAUCUCAUGAACAUCCAACAAUAGUCUAAGGCAUUAAAGGCCUUAACAUAAUUCAACAUCAUAGUUCAAAGAUAGCAAAAGGCUCCACACCAUAAGUUCCAAAAUUUGAUACAUGGAAAGGAAAAGCAACAAUAACAAAAAUGAUAAUUCCCAUCCCACGUAUCAGAGCCCUAGACACGACUUUGAGCCACCACCUACUACUCAGGAUCACCUGCAAGUUACCCAUAGGAAGGGCAACGUUUUCAAGCAGAAGGGGUGAGAUUCACAACAAUAAAUAUAGAUAUUAAAAUCAUCAAAUGAAUCUAACACCCUAAAACUUCAAAUAUAAUAAUCUUGCAAAUAUCAAUAUUUAAUUCACAAGUCACAACAACAUCACCAUAAUAAUCCAUUUAGCAAGUAUGUAUACAAUGUACAUAUUACCAAUAACAUCAACAACACAUCAAGAUCACAAUGAAUAUAUAUAAAUAAAUGUAUAUUCAACAUCGACAUCAACAUCAGAUAAACCUGAAACAACAACCAAGACUCAUGCAAAUGACAUGACCACUGCUAAGACACCAUCUUAGACUUCUUAAUGAAAUGCAUUAUGCAUGUGGUACCAAUCAGGACCGA
rnacentral:lncRNA from 1 species